rnacentral:lncRNA from 1 species
GUUCAAUUCUGAUUAUUUUACUAAUGAAGUAGGUUUGAUGCAAGGUGAAGUAUUAUCACCGAUAUUUUUUUCUAUGUAUGUCAAUGAUUGUGAAAUGGCUUUUAUAAAUAGUGACUCUAUUCCUUAUGAGAUGAAGGAACUAAAUUUAUUUUUACUAAUGUACGCUGACGAUAUGGUUAUUUUUUCAGAAACUGUAUCUGGAUUACAAACAUUACUUGAUACUUUGUAUGAUUAUACCUCCAAAUGGUCACUUAGUGUGAAUAUAGC